UACGUAGGGGGCAAGCGUUGUCCGGAUUUAUUGGGCGUAAAGAGCGUGUAGGCGGCCAUACAGGUCCGUUGUGAAAACUGGAGGCUUAACCUCCAGACGUCGAUGGAAACCGUAUGGCUAGAGUCCGGAAGAGGAGAGUGGAAUUCCUGGUGUAGCGGUGAAAUGCGCAGAUAUCAGGAAGAACACCCGUGGCGAAGGCGGCUCCCUGGGACGGUACUGACGCUGAGACGCGAAAGCGUGGGGAGCGAACAGG
rnacentral:rRNA from 1 species